UCCAGACUCCUACGGGAGGCAGCAGUGGGGGAUAUUGCACAAUGGGGGGAACCCUGAUGCAGCGACGCCGCGUGGGUGAAGGAGCGUUUCGGCGCGUAAAGCCCUAUCGGCAGGGAAGAAGGAGGACGGUACCUGACUAAGAAGCCCCGGCUAACUACGUGCCAGCAGCCGCGGUAAUACGUAGGGGGCAAGCGUUAUCCGGAUUUACUGGGUGUAAAGGGGGCGCAGACGGCAGCGCAAGCCAGGAGUGAAAGCCCGGGGCCCAACCCCGGGACUGCUCUUGGAACUGCGCGGCUGGAGUGCAGGAGGGGCAGGCGGAAUUCCUGGUGUAGCGGUGAAAUGCGUAGAUAUCAGGAGGAACACCGGUGGCGAAGGCGGCCUGCUGGACUGCGACUGACGUUGAGGCCCGAAAGCGUGGGGAGCAAACAGGAUUAGAUACCCCAGUAG
rnacentral:rRNA from 1 species